UGGGGAAUAUUGCACAAUGGGCGCAAGCCUGAUGCAGCCAUGCCGCGUGUAUGAAGAAGGCCUUCGGGUUGUAAAGUACUUUCAGUCGGGAGGAAGGUGGUAAGGUUAAUAACCUUAUCAAUUGACGUUACCGACAGAAGAAGCACCGGCUAACUCCGUGCCAGCAGCCGCGGUAAUACGUAGGUGGCAAGCGUUGUCCGGAUUUAUUGGGCGUAAAGCGAGCGCAGGCGGUUUCUUAAGUCUGAUGUGAAAGCCCCCGGCUCAACCGGGGAGGGUCAUUGGAAACUGGGAGACUUGAGUGCAGAAGAGGAGAGUGGAAUUCCAUGUGUAGCGAUGAAAUGCGUAGAUAUAUGGAGGAACACCAGUGGCGAAGGCGGCUCUCUGGUCUGUAACUGACGCUGAGGCUCGAAAGCGUGGGGAGCAAACAGG
rnacentral:rRNA from 1 species